rnacentral:rRNA from 1 species
AGCAGCCGCGGUAAUUCCAGCUCCAAUAGCGUAUAUUAAAGUUGUUGCAGUUAAAAAGCUCGUAGUUGAAUUUCGGGAUCAAUUUAUCGGUCGUGCCAAUGGUAUGAACUGGUACAAUUGGUUUCUCCCUUCUGACGAAGCAUGAUGUCAUUAAUUUGGUGUCGUGGGGAAUCAGGACUGUUACUUUGAAAAAAUUAGAGUGUUUAAAGCAAGCAUUAGCUUGAAUACAUUAGCAUGGAAUAAUGAAAUAGGACGUUUGAUCCUAUUUCGUUGGUUUCUAGGAUCGACGUAAUGAUUAAUAGGGAUAGUUGGGGGCAUUAGUAUUCAAUUGUCAGAGGUGAAAUUCUUGGAUUUAUUGAAGACUAACUACUGCGAAAGCAUUUGCCAAGGAUGUUUUCAUUAAUCAAGAACGAAAGUUAGGGGAUCGAAGACGAUCAGAUACCGUCGUAG